GAUGAAGAACGCAGCGAAAUGCGAUAACUAAUGUGAAUUGCAGAAUUCAGUGAAUCAUCGAGUCUUUGAACGCACAUUGCGCCCCCUGGUAUUCCGGGGGGCAUGCCUGUCCGAGCGUCAUUGCUGCCCUCAAGCACGGCUUGUGUGUUGGGCUCCGUCCCCCCGGGGACGGGCCCGAAAGGCAGCGGCGGCACCGAGUCCGGUCCUCGAGCGUAUGGGGCUUUAUCACCCGCUCUUGAGGCCCGGCCGGCGCUUGCCGACCCUUUAUUCUUCUAAGGUUGACCUCGGAUCAGGUAGGGAUACCCGCUGAACUUAAGCAUAUCAAUAAGCGGAGGA
rnacentral:misc_RNA from 1 species